rnacentral:rRNA from 1 species
UGGGGAAUUUUGGACAAUGGGCGCAAGCCUGAUCCAGCUAUUCCGCGUGUGGGAUGAAGGCCCUCGGGUUGUAAACCACUUUUGUAGAGAACGAAAAGACACCUUCGAAUAAAGGGUGUUGCUGACGGUACUCUAAGAAUAAGCACCGGCUAACUACGUGCC